rnacentral:lncRNA from 1 species
CAAAGCGGUCAUGUGCCAUCACAGUUGGAAGCAUGUCAUUCAUGGAUCCGAAAAGGAUAAAAAGGGACAUCUGUGUCAGGCAGUCUGCAUGGAAGAUGGCCCUGCUGUGAGUUAAGAUGUCACAAUCAUCUUUGGGACCAUGAUGGAGAUGAAACAGAUGUCAGCUGAGGACAGGUUGGAGAGGAAGAAGCACAUAGGGGUGCAGAGGUGGGAGUCAGAGCUGACAGCGAAGAUGAUGAGCAGGUUCCCAAGCACUGUGACCAGCAGGUAAGGACACCCUGGGCAAGCUCCCCAGCUGCUCCUAGAGAUGCAUCCAUAGAGCCCGCAGUGAGCAGAGCGCCCAGGACUGAGCCCAGUUAUCCCCGACUGGCUACGUCCACUGGCGACCAAGGGCGGUUAAGGACACUCCCGGACACGACCCCCGGCCAACCGUGAGGCGCAAGGGAAGAGCUGCGCAGGGGGCGGAGAGCCCAGGACUGAGCGCAGUCCUGCCCGGCUGGUUACGCCCACUGGAGAAAAAGGGCGGGUAAGGACCGCCCCAGGCACGCCCCCCAGUCGCCCAUAGAAACCAGGAUGUAGAGGCAGGAGGGGCCAGAGCGCCCAGGACUGUGCCCGGCUCUGCCCGGCUGCCGACGCCCACUGAAAAACAAGGGCAGGCAAGGCUCCUGCAGGUGCAGAAACUGAAUUUCUAGAAUUCUGAAUAUGCUGGAGAUACCUGGCCCAGAAAAAGAUGGGUGAGAAUCACAAGCUUGAGAUCAGGUUAUUCUAUCAGUGGCUGACCUAUCCUCUCAGGUGUAAAGAGGGAAAAGUCCACCUAUACCUCACACCCAUGUUCAUUCUUUUUAGUAUGGUAUCAAAUUGAUUGUAGGAAAAGAGAAAUAAAUGAACAAUUUUUGAACCUUUACUUUGACUUUUGAUUCCAACCUUUCCCAUCAUAAUUAAGGUCAAUACAAAAUCAUGUUUGGAAUUUUGCAAUAAAUGACCUCUAAAUGUUUCUACUGAGUGCCCUGAGGUAGGAAGAAGACUUGCAGAAAGUCAGGCUUACAUGGAGGAGUAAGGUAGAUUUACAAGACCAAUAAGUAUAUAGAAAGAACGAGGUCAGGAGGCAUGGUUCAAAAGACGAUCCUACAACUCAGUAUUACAAAAUCUUAACUCUUACAGUCUGAUCCACAUAUUAUGAGUUUUUAGAUGAAAAUUCCAUUAGGAAAUUCACAUGGAGCUCACAAGAUCUUACCUAUUUCUUGCUUAGAACUCAAGCUAUGAAAAACUCUGAAAUUUGAUGAAAUAUUAUAUAAUGAUAACAAGUCAGUGAAACUGUGUUCCGAGAUUAUAGUGCUGGUCAGCCAUGUAGAUGAUGGACACCUCAAACUCUAGCUCAGUCCGGAUUUCUUUCUAUUACUCCGACUUAGUCUCCAAGAAGCAAAGCAUCCAAAGUAAUGAGC